GUGCUCGCUUCAACAGCACAUAUACUAAAAUUGAAAUGAGAAAAAAAAAACU
rnacentral:snRNA from 1 species